AAGAUUUGCCAUCUUGGAAAGCAAAUUGGAUAUUUACAGCACAAAACUUAUUAACUAGGGAAAAAAAAAAUUGUUCAGAAAGUUAUCUGGUGCAGAGUGCAAUUACAGUGCAAGAUGCACACAAGGAACCAACUGAAGGUUGGCCAAGGACUAGCCUUUCCACUAACUACAUUCUGAGAUUUCUACCUUAGCACUUCCUUUCCACAAAUCCAAGUUUCCUCAAAUAUUUUUGAAAGCAAUAACUAUGUACCUUCAUUGCUUUCAUGUA
rnacentral:misc_RNA from 1 species